rnacentral:rRNA from 1 species
UAAACUCCUUUUAUAUAAGAAGAAAAUGACGGUAUUAUAUGAUAGCACGGCUAACUCCGUGCCAGCAGCCGCGUAAUACGGGGGUGCAAGCGUUACUCGGAAUCACUGGGCGUAAAGAGCAUGUAGCGGAUUAAUAAGUUUGAAGUGAAAUCCUAUAGCUUAACUAUAGAACUGCUUUGAAAACUGUUAGUCUAGAAUGUGGGAGAGGUAGAUGGAAUUUCUGGUGUAGGGGUAAAAUCCGUAGAGAUCAGAAGGGAUACCGAUUGCGAAGGCGAUCUACUGGAACAUUAUUGACGCUGAGAUGCGAAAGCGUGGGGAGCAAACAGGAUUAGAUACCCUGGUAGUCCACGCCCUAAACGAUGUACACUAGUUGUUGUGAGACUUGAUCUUGCAGUAAUGCAGUUAACACAUUAAGUGUACCGCCUGGGGAGUACGGUCGCAAGAUUAAAACUCAAAGGAAUAGACGGGGACCCGCACAAGCGGUGGAGCAUGUGGUUUAAUUCGACGAUACACGAAGAACCUUACCUGGACUUGACAUAGUAAGAACUUUCUAGAGAUAGAUUGGUGUCUGCUUGCAGAAACUUAUAUACAGGUGCUGCACGGCUGUCGUCAGCUCGUGUCGUGAGAUGUUGGGUUAAGUCCCGCAACGAGCGCAACCCUCGUCCUUAGUUGCUAACAGUUCGGCUGAGAACUCUAAGGAGACUGCCUACGCAAGUAGGAGGAAGGUGAGGACGACGUCAAGUCAUCAUGGCCCUUACGUCCAGGGCUACACACGUGCUACAAUGGGAUAUACAAUGAGCCGCAAUACGGUGACGUGGAGCAAAUCUUAUAAAAUAUCUCCCAGUUCGGAUUGUAGUCUGCAACUCGACUACAUGAAGUUGGAAUCGCUAGUAAUCGUAGAUCAGCUAUGCUACGGUGAAUACGUUCCCGGGUCUUGUACUCACCGCCCGUCACACCAUGGGAGUUGAACUCAUUCGAAGCGGGGAUGCUAAAGUAGCUACCUUCCACAGUGGAUUCAGCGACUGGGGUGAAGUCGUAACAAGGUAACC